rnacentral:rRNA from 1 species
UACGUAGGGUGCGAGCGUUGUCCGGAAUUAUUGGGCGUAAAGAGCUUGUAGGCGGUCUGUCGCGUCUGCUGUGAAAAUCCGGGGCUCAACCCCGGACUUGCAGUGGGUACGGGCAGACUAGAGUGUGGUAGGGGAGACUGGAAUUCCUGGUGUAGCGGUAAAAUGCGCAGAUAUCAGGAGGAACACCGGGUGGCGAAGGGCGGU